AGAUCGGAAUUCCUGGUGUAGCGGUGAAAUGCGCAGAUAUCAGGAGGAACACCGGUGGCGAAGGCGGAUCUCUGGGCCAUUACUGACGCUGAGGAGCGAAAGCGUGGGGAGCGAACAGGAUUAGAUACCCUGGUAGUCCACGCCGUAAACGUUGGGAACUAGGUGUUGGCGACAUUCCACGUCGUCGGUGCCGCAGCUAACGCAUUAAGUUCCCCGCCUGGGGAGUACGGCCGCAAGGUUAAAACUCAAAUGAAUUGACGGGGGCCCGCACAAGCAGCGGAGCAUGUGGCUUAAUUCGACGCAACGCGAAGAACCUUACCAAGGCUUGACAUAUACCGGAAAGCAUCAGAGAUGGUGCCCCCCUUGUGGUCGGUAUACAGGUGGUGCAUGGCUGUCGUCAGCUCGUGUCGUGAGAUGUUGGGUUAAGUCCCGCAACGAGCGCAACCCUCGUUCUGUGUUGCCAGCAUGCCCUUCGGGGUGAUGGGGACUCACAGGAGACUGCCGGGGUCAACUCGGAGGAAGGUGGGGACGACGUCAAGUCAUCAUGCCCCUUAUGCCUUGGGCUGCACACGUGCUACAAUGGCCGGUACAAUGAGCUGCGAUGCCGCGAGGCGGAGCGAAUCUCAAAAAGCCGGUCUCAGUUCGGAUUGGGGUCUGCAACUCGACCCCAUGAAGUCGGAGUUGCUAGUAAUCGUAGAUCAGCAUUGCCGCGGUGAAUACGUUCCCGGGCCUUGUACACACCGCCCGU
rnacentral:rRNA from 1 species